UCCAGAUAUCAUACCACGUUGAAUACUCCGGUUCUCGUCCGAUCACCGAAGUUAAGCAGCGUCAGGCACGGUUA
rnacentral:rRNA from 1 species